rnacentral:lncRNA from 14 species
AUGACCACGAGCGAAAGGAGGAAAAUAUUCUGCUCUGUCACGUUCCACGUCAUCGCCGUCACCUGCGUGGUGUGGUCCUUGUAUGUGUUGAUAGACCGGACAGCGGAGGAAAUCAAGCAAGGUAACGACAAUGGUGUGCUGGAGUGGCCAUUUUGGACAAAACUGGUUGUGGUGGCCAUCGGCUUCACAGGAGGUCUCGUCUUCAUGUAUGUACAGUGUAAAGUCUACGUCCAGCUGUGGCGCAGGCUGAAGGCCUACAACCGUGUGAUCUUUGUGCAGAAUUGCCCAGACACUGCCAACAAACUGGAGAAGAACUUCCCGUGUAAUGUGAACACGGAAGGCAAGGAUGCUGUGGUUGUGCCUGUGCCACAGACAGGUUCGAAUACACUGCCAACUGCAGAGGGGGCCCCGCCUGAAGUUAUACCAGUCUGAUGGAACUGGACGGGAACUUCUUCACGGAAGGAUCUCUGCAACCCCCAGCCACUACGAACAGAAGUGCGUCUGCGCUGGUGGCUUCUUGAGCUUCUCGUUUCCCUUACUGACUUGUUUGUCCUGACUUGGAGCAAAAAGGAAAUGAGAAGAAAAUAACACGUGACCAGAUCUCAAGAAGCAGAGCCUGCAGUGGGACCUGGAAAGGUGAAGAAUCUUAGGGAAGGAGUUCAUAAGGAAUGGUUGGUACGAGCCAGUCUUCCAAGGGGAUGGACACGUGAUACUCCGAGUAGUGCAGAGGAAAUUCCUGAACAGACUUCAAUUGCAAUGUAUGCUUCUUUGUAGGGUUCUGUAACGUUAGCCUUCUCCACUGGAAACGACACCCACCCACACAUUUGGUCUUAAGCCUGAAAUUGUGUGCAUCAUCCCUAAGUCACACCAGAAGUAAACUUGGAGGACCUGAGAGGUUUUUUUAAAAAAUACUUUUGACAGCUGUUUUUUCUGGCUAUUGUGAAGUCUGGUUAUUUUGACAGAUGCAUGUUUUUAAGUGGAUGCAAUACACAUUUGGGGAUAGAAAUGUUUGGAAUUUUGUUUCAAUGAUGAAGAGAUUUUCAGAGCAUCGUGAAGUUUAGCUAGAACUGUUUUUUGAGCAACUAUCAUGCUGUGGGGUUCUUUCUUGUUGUUGUUGUUGCUGUUGUUGUUUUUUCUGGUCCCUCUUACACAGUGCUCAACAAUAGACAUAUAACAUGAGCUACAAAUACAAACCACAGUUGUAAAUCUUAAAUCUCCUAGUGUGCCCCAUUAGGAAAAGUAAAAAUAAAUAGGUCAAUCAAUUUUUAUAAUUUACUUAACACUAUUUAUACAAGUUACUUUAUGUCAU